rnacentral:rRNA from 1 species
UACGGGGGGAGCAAGCGUUGUUCGGAUUUACUGGGCGUAAAGGGCGCGUAGGCGGCCACCGCAAGUCGACUGUGAAAUCUCCGGGCUUAACCCGGAAAGGUCAGCCGAUACUGCGGGGCUAGAGUGCAGAAGGGGCAACUGGAAUUCCUGGUGUAGCGGUGAAAUGCGCAGAUAUCAGGAGGAACACCGAUGGCGAAGGCAGGUCUCUGGGCCACUACUGACGCUGAGAAGCGAAAGCAUGGGGAGCGAACAGG